GGGGGGUUCCAGGAUGGACAUGAAGGUCCUAGAGGUAGAUAUGUGGUCACGUAGGGUCCUGGAAGGGGAUGUGGGGUGGUGUAGGAAGGGUUGUGCAGGUCCUGUUUGGUGCUGGGUAUGAGGAUGUGGUGGGGCUGUGGGGUCGUGUAUAGGAUGUGAGGGGCUAGGCGUCUUGGGAUGGGGUCCUGGGGGGCUUAGGAGGGGUUGUGCAGGUCCUGGGGGGUCUCAGGUAGGGAUAUGGGGGGGCCGAGGGGUCCCAUGUAGGAUGUGAAGGUCCUAGAGGUAGAUAUGUGGUCACAUAGGGUCCUGGAAGGGGAUGUAGGGUGGUGUAGGAAGGGUUGUGCAGGUCCUGUGGGGUGCUGGGUAUGGGGAUAUGGGGGGGCUGGGGGGUCCUAUGUAGAAUAUGAAGGUCCUAGAUGUAGAUACGAGGUCACAUAGGGUCCUGGAAGGGGAUGUGGGGUGGUGUAGGAAGGGUUGUGCAGGUCCUAUGGGAUCCAGGUAAUGAUUUGGGUCUGGGGGCACCUGGAGGGUCCCGGGAAGGACCAGGGGGGCACCCUAUG
rnacentral:lncRNA from 1 species